CAGCAGCCGCGGGAAUACGGAGGGUGCAAGCGUUAAUCGGAAUUACUGGGCGUAAAGCGCACGCAGGCGGUCUGUCAAGUCAGAUGUGAAAUCCCCGGGCUUAACCUGGGAACUGCAUUUGAAACUGGCAGGCUGGAGUCUUGUAGAGGGGGGUAGAAUUCCAGGUGUAGCGGUGAAAUGCGUAGAGAUCUGGAGGAAUACCGGUGGCGAAGGCGGCCCCCUGGACAAAGACUGACGCUCAGGUGCGAAAGCGUGGGGAGCAAACAGGAUUAGAUACCCCUGUAGUCCCUGUCUCUUAUAC
rnacentral:rRNA from 1 species